rnacentral:rRNA from 1 species
UACACACCGCCCGUCACACCAUCGGAGUUGGCUUUACCUGAAGCCGGUGCGCUAACCCGCAAGGGAGGCAGCCGACCACGGUGGAAUCACCGACUGGGGUG